rnacentral:tRNA from 1 species
GCCAACAUAGCUCAGCUGGUAGAGCAGCUCACUCGUAAUGAGCAGGUCACCGGUUCAAGUCCGGUUGUUGGCU